UACAGAGGUCUCAAGCGUUGUUCGGAUUCAUUGGCGUAAAGGGUGCGUAGGUGGCGCCGUAAGUCGGGUGUGAAAUUUCGGAGCUUAACUCCGAAACUGCAUUCGAUACUGCGGUGCUUGAGGACUGGAGAGGAGACUGGAAUUCAUGGUGUAGCAGUGAAAUGCGUAGAGAUCAUGAGGAAGACCAGUGGCGAAGGCGGGUCUCUGGACAGUUCCUGACACUGAGCACGAAGGCCAGGGGAGCAAACGGG
rnacentral:rRNA from 1 species